CAGAACCAGAACCAGGACCAGGACCAGAACCAGGACCAGGACCAGAGGAGGAGACUUUCUGCUGUUCUGGUGGAGAGGAAAGGUGGAGACCCAGAUGACACACAUCCUCCAUUCUGAAGAGGGAGAAGGGUGUUGUUUCGUCGUGUGUGUGUGUGUGUGUGUGUGUGUGUGUGUGUGUGUGUGUGUGUGUGGCUGUCCAGUCAGAGUGAAGCUGUCUCUGUCUCCUGGUGUUAAUCAGCUCAUGUGUGUCCAUGAAGAGAGAAGAAGUCCUCGGUGUGUCGCUGCUGUUGGCUGCAGAUCUGAGAUCUGUCUGAAAGGUUCUGUUAGACAUGAUGCUGCUGCUUUCUCUCUCAGUGACUGAAGAUGAGUGGUGUGGAUGAAGAGGAGGACGGACCAGAGUGUGUGGACAGACUCACAGCAGAGUCUUCAGGAUCCAGCAGGUUGUCUCUGAAGAGUGACCGGUCCAGACGUCGUCCACCACUCUUCAGUGCUGAACCUGGACCUUCAGACACAAAACUCACAGCAGAGUCUUCAGGAUCCAGCAGGUUGUCUCUGAAGAGUGACCGGUCCAGACGUCGUCCACCACUCUUCAGUGCUGAACCUGGACCUUCAGACACAAAAAAGAGGAAGAGGACUGAUGUGUGUGAGGAGCAGCCAGAAAGAUCCAGAAGCGCCGCUGC